CAGUAAAUUGAAAUUGUUAUAAAAUAUGAGGUUUCUUAUAUGUUGUAAUUGUCUAUAGCCAUGAAGAGUGUAGACAUGGUUCCAACUUAAA